rnacentral:lncRNA from 1 species
CAAGGGAGGCUAGAGUGAACGGUGGCUGGGGGAAUAAGGAACUUGGGAUUAGUAAGAAAAAAACCUCGAAGUUUGGGUUAGGGGUGGGAAUUGGGAUUUGGGAAUGUGAAUGGGUUGGUGGGAGUAGACUUUCAUCUUAAGUUUGAACUAGAUUUUGCGACUAGUAUUCAAAUGGAUAUUAUACCUCAAAGGCUCCAACUAUGAUAGUAACUAAAUAUUACGAACUUGGAGAAUUUGUAUACCAUCAAUUUUUCACUUAUAACUUAAAAAUAGUUUUUAGCUUGGAAAAAACAAAAAAACGUAAUCAUCCGUUUUAGAAAUAAUAAUAAAAAUGAAUUUCAAGUUUUUCCUAAUAAACCUGGGCAAGGCUUCUUUGACCAACAAUACUAUAAGAGCAACUACACAUUUGGGACUUACACUAGACGGUAGGUUUGGACAAUCA